UACAGAGGGGGCAAGCGUUGUUCGGAAUUACUGGGCGUAAAGGGCGCGUAGGCGGCCACCGCAAGUCGGUUGUGAAAUCUCUGGGCUUAACCCAGAAAGGUCAACCGAUACUGCGGGGCUAGAGUGCAGAAGGGGCAACUGGAAUUCUCGGUGUAGCGGUGAAAUGCGUAGAUAUCGAGAGGAACACCUGCGGCGAAGGCGGGUUGCUGGGCUGACACUGACGCUGAAGCGCGAAAGCUAGGGGAGCGAACGGG
rnacentral:rRNA from 1 species